GGUGAGAUGGCCGAGUUGGUUAUGGCGCCAGGUUAAGGUCACCUUAACAACCUACAAUUCCUGGUGGAGCAAUCCUCCUGGGUUCGAGUCCCAGUCUCAUCA
rfam:Nectria haematococca mpVI 77-13-4 chromosome 8 genomic scaffold NECHAsca_17_chr8_1_0, whole genome shotgun sequence.